GUUCCCCGUCAGGUUCCCCGUCCCCAGGACCGUGUGAGGGUUCUCCCCAGGGGCCCCGGUAAAGGACACAUACAAGUACCCCUGGAGGGGUCGCGGGAGUUACCAGACGAGUGGUCUCGAGGAACGCCACGAGAGACCCCAUGAGAGCCCAUGCGAGGAUUCCUGUGAGGAGCCCUGUCAGAGACCGCGUGAGGGACCCCCUGAGUGCUACCAUGACCGGGCCCCUUGAAGGACCCCCAUGGCUUAGGAACAGGGCAUUUUGGAACCAGUUCUGCACUUACAGUAAUGUAAUCGUCUCCUCUUACAAGGCUGGACACAGGGAGGCACCCUGUUGACAAGGGGAAAACUCUUGGAUUUCAAGGAAGAAUAGCUGCACUACAGGAGGAGAAACUCAAAUAAAGCAUGGUGGGGGGUUCUCCCUGGGAGAACAGGGAGGGGUUGGCACAGUAGAAAUGUAUUAGAGAACUUGGUGCAGCUUCUGGCAGCCUAAACCCAGUGAUGACAGGACAGAUGGCAAGAAAGGAUAGUCAAUACAACUUGACUCCCUGAGAUGAGGAGUUUUGAGUUGUGGGUCAGGAGGAGAAGGAAAAAAAAAAACAAAAAACAAAACCAUUUCUUUCAUUUAGUCUUUUUACUGCUGUGCAUUUUUUCCAUUGUGUACAGCACCUCUGGUUGCCCAAAAUGCAGUGGUCCUUACCCUUUGGGUGUCAUUGCAAGGCAUGUUAAAUCUAGGCUUAGUUAGCCUGUGUGGAAGUUGGUCCCUGCUUGGUGCUGAGCAGGCAGGGCUGGUGAUAGUCAGAGUGUUCAGCUCCUGGUGCCACUAGUGAUGAUGUCCCAUGGUCCUUGACCUUUGCUGUGGUCUGAUAUCCUGUACUGUUGUUUGCUCAUCCCCUAUCCCUUGAACCCAUAUUCUCCAUGUAAGCAGAAAGGGCAUAAAAUCUGAUUUUACCCUAAACAGUAUCUGAAAAUUAACUGCUGUUUUUCAUGCUUCUGCCUUUUCUCUGUAGAGCAGAUAGAUUUAGCCAGUCUGCAUCCUUGACAGCUACUGCAUAGGUGGACAGGAACUACAACAGAUCCUGCUGCUGCUGAGGAGCUGCAAGAUCUCCCUGUUCCCAUUUUUUCUUGGUAAGAUAGAGGCUUCUUUGAACAAAAUUGAAAUUCAGACCAAACAGUGCACAGGUAUUGUUGAUUUUUCUUGAUGCAGCUGUUGAUAUUUUAUUUUAUUACUAUUGCAGGGGGACAGUUAAUUACAGCUGUAAACAAAGUUUCACAAGCUUUGUGACAAACGUCUGCAGCUCCAUAAUCUGUGUGGAUUUAAUCAGUAUUAUUAGUAUUCUUCCAUCAUGGCUUGGCAAUCCUUUGAUAAUCAAGAUGGAAAUUUGAUGUGCAGCAUGAAACAACAAAGGCUGAGAGCUCUUGAGAUGCUGUUGUCAGAUGGUAUAGUGCCAGCUGGAAUGUGUCUCUGAAAAUUGCACAGAAUCCAUCCCGAGAGUGUCACACUGUAUUAGGAGCGGUGACAGUGACGACAUAGACUCUCAGCUUAGUGGCAAAGAGAGAGCACAUUUUAUUCUUGCAGAUCUUCUUUUAUAGACAGUUCCAAGAAGGUCUGAAAAGAUUGAGACAGUUACACAUAUCUGAACUUGAUACUGAUCCUGCAGAGCCUUGCUUAAACACCUAUUUCAGAAGGAUGCUGGCAGGGGUCAACUUGUGUAGAGCACGCUCUUUUAACGGCAGUGAAACAGGACAGCUGUGUGAAAGCCUCAGUCUCCUAUGCAGUGCAGAUAUGUCGAAGUGCUACAGCUGGAGUUUUGGGAUGCAAGAUCUCCCUAAAACCUGUAGUCCUAUACCAGAUUGUCCAGGUACAUUUACCUGUGCUGUUCAACCCUUCUAAGAGGUGAACUAGGAAGAAAUGGGAGAAGAGGAAGAUACCAAAGAUAGAAAACAAAGUUAAAUCCAUUUGUUCUACUUGGAAAAGUGACCGUCAUAAAAACAGCACCUGACUGAAUUUAAAUUAAAGAACUCUGAAACUGACAUGAAGCAAAAAGAGCUCAACAGUAUGUGUACACUGUGGUAUAGAGAGAACAGAUAGCACAGAAAACACACAGACCUUAGAGUUCCAUGACCAUGUAUUAAUGUCAAUACACUGAUGACUAAUCAUGCUGAUUCUACAAAGGUAGCCUCAUGGAUCAACAGAGUGCAGUACUGUAAUUCAGUUAAUUAUGCAUAGGCAUGUCCAUGGAAGACCACAGCAAGUGAAGAUAUAGUAUAGAAGAUAAAGAAGUUCCUGUUUCUAUGCUCUUAUGAGACGUAAUGUAUCAAUUGUACUGUCUGCAUAAGAUUCAGAAACUCAACCCAAAUUCCAGAUGUCAGUUUGAGGUUUGUAAACAAAUGUAUCUUUAGAAAACUAAGCCAAAUGUAUGCCUUUGUGUUGAAAAAAACAAAAACAAAAAUCCUUUUCAGAGGGGAGAAACAAUUUGAAAGGUAACAGAACACUGAGCUCCAUGAGCAGACAGGCUAGUUUCACAUACUAUCUGCAGUUUCCCACUGUUCCAUUUGUAAGCUGCAUCAAUGACUUGGAACAGGUUAAAAAAUGUGCACUGUAAUAUUUCAAGAGAACUGUUACUACUUUGCUUGACAGCUUCUAUGAUAGUUCAGGAUUCAGCGCUGUUUCUGAUACAGGUCAUGACAGAAACAAGCUGAGAAAGCCUCUGUUAGAUGGGUGGAAUUGGAGGAGUUGUUAACAAACAUCAGACCCUGGAUUCAGAACAAAAGCCAUCAAGUAUCAGCAAGUCCCAAUUAUUUUUUUUUCCUCAAAGCUUUGGAUCUUAUUAAAAAUAUUUGUGAAAAAAACCAAAACAUUUAAACCAGUUCACUGUAGGAAAUCCUACCUUCAGGCAACAAAUUAUGAUCACUGCACAUUUUAAAACACCUUGUGCAUUUUGUGCAUCUUAUGCACCACAGGCAGUAGGGAAGAUCCAGCAUUUAUCUACACAUGAACAUACAAGCAAGCACUGACAGGUGUUACUGGCAAGACUGAUACCAAGACCAACCAGCACAUUGAUUUGUCUACACCACAUCCUAAGACAAAUGGAACAAGUCACAAGUAACAGUACAAACCUGUUGCAAUUUUAACACAUAUAUCUUAGAAAAAGAUAAUGCAUGUACUCAACCCUAGGACAGUGACAAAUUUGAGAUAACUAUAAAGAUCAAGGUACCAGAAGAGGAAGGCACAUUAACCUCUGGUUGGUCCAUUUCAGUACUAUUUGGAUGAGUCAUAGUGAUUUAUACCCUGAGACUGUGGGAGGCCUUGAAUAUGAAAAGAGACCAGGUGAAUGGGCAAAUAAAAAGUACAAGUUUAAUGAGAUUGUAAGAUUCAGCACCUGAAUUUUCCCUUUUAGUACGGGAAUCUAGAAAAGCAGUUCCUAAGAAAAUGCUGUAUUGACUCCUAAAUUUUUUGUCCUGAAGGCAAAAAAAUCAAUUCAAGAGAAUCUUGGACUAAAGACAUUGCAUUAUGUUGCAAGGGGUUUUAUACACCCUCUCAGUUUUAGUACAGCAACCACUAUUUGUAUACAAUCAAGUGUUAGUAGUUAUUUGGGUAUAGAAACAGUCAGACAGCCCACAUUAUCCCACCUCUGCCAACCCCAGCACUCCAUUUUAAAUCUUUCUGCACUUUUUUAGACUACACUGCUCCCAGCAGGAUACUAGUGGGAAAGGCUGUUAGGAAAUGAAGGAUUUCUUUCUGCAAGAGCAUUCUUUUAAUUAGCCAAGUACCACAUGGUUUUCUUGAAAAAAACCAACAUCACAAGGAAGAAGAUCCUGCCUAAUUUUAUCCUUGAAAAAAACCACAAAGAAUCAGAAAAUGUCAGGGAUAUAUAUUUGAUCUCUCAAAGAUGUUUCUGAUUAAGCAUUUACAUAUCCCCUCUACUUUUUUAAUUCUUCAGGAGUUCCAAGAGCCAUACCAAACACUGCUUACUUUUUACUGUUUCUCUGGUGUUACUUAACCAUCCUCACUACGCAAAGUACUCAUGUACAGCGGCAAAGGAGAGCACCUCACACAAGACGUGGAUGUGUUCUUUUUUCCACUCUCCCUUGUCCUGGGGUGUCUGCUUCAGAAUUUCAAGUAAGUUACUGAGGGCGCUGUAAGACUCGGAAAUGGUUUUAAGUUGAGGUCAUACCAUGGGCUCACUGUGGGGUGGCCAGCAGGGCACACAGGGAAUUUCACUUAACUUUAAACUAAAACAUUUGUGCCUGGUAGGUCAGGUGUCCCUGGCUCAGCAUAGGCUGGCUGGAGGAUCAGCUCCACCUGCAUGACACACAGCUCUGCAAUGGAGUUCCUUAGGAAUAAGCUGUACCCCAGUCCAGUAAUUCAGUCAUAGCAGCAAUUGCAAAAGUAACUAAGUAAGAAGCUAUCAGACACCUUGGAAAAGUGCAUUUAUUGAAAAUAAGGGUAACAGACCACUAAAAACAGACCUUCCACCUGGCUGCUGUAAGAUGCUGCUGCUUUCCCACAUGCACUAACUGACAGCCCACCUAUCCUUGGUUUCUUGCAAACAAAGCAAACAAUAACCUCUGGAGGGUCUAGGAAGCCUGCUUUGUUUCACACCUGCAUCAGAUGAGGCACAGCAGUUCAAAAGGCCUGUAAUGCCUCUCAGCUGAGUGGUACAAAUUAAGACAACAAAGCACCACUUGACAUAGCUGGAUCAUAAAUUUAAUCUGUUAACUUUGCAGCUGCAAGCUAUAAGACAAAGCAAGUGCUCAGGUAAAGGAACAGGAUGAAAUUCUGGAAGGAAAUGAUCCCCAAGUAUCUUAAUCCUUUAGAUAAAAAAGCUGCCGAAGACCUAAAAUGGAGGCAGCAAAUAUAAACCCCUUAAUGCUAUUAAAAAUUUCCUCUCAUGAAGACAAUCACAAGAGUCACCCACAAUAUGACUAAUUUUUGUGAACAGGCUAAGUCCAGCAAGAUCACUGGGCACUCUUGCAAUGAUCUAAAAAAUGGAUCUGUGAGGAGAAUUAACAACUUGGACUAGGAGCAUAAACCUACUAUCAACUAUUCUUUGGUAAUUUCUUCGUCUCAAACUAACACCAGCAGCACUGAUGAGGGAAUCAAACAAAUGGACUUGCUUCUUUACUGCAAUCCCAGAAAGCACCAGAGGAGAGCACUAGUAAUUCUCCCUACAAGACAUGACUGUACAAGGGAGAAACCUGGAGGAAUUACAGGAAUAAGGUGUUUAGUGAAGAGGAUGAGCACAACACUUAUUUACUGUGCUCAAGCCAAUACUACAAAGUAGCUUCUGAUUCCUCAGGAAUGUCCCAUGAUGUAACAUCCAUCUGUUACUGAGGAGUUGCUACCCUGUAUUUACAAGCUAGGUAUUACCAAACCCAUAACUGAGUCACUAGUUUGAUUACCUGUCAUGAAUACUGAAAAUGUAAUAUUCAAAAAUACCCAAAUUAACAUGGUAGUUUACUGAAGAGAGCUGAGCAGUAGAAUUAACUGCUUCCUAAACUCACUGGUAGCACGGAAGAUCCCAUACAACUGAGAAGUCAGUAGCAGCCAGUCUGAAGGCAUGUUAUGCUGUAAAUUCUCUCCUUCAAGCAAGAUAAACCAGGGUAUGCUCCCCACCCAUACAGACUGCUACAGUGUAAUUGUAUCAGUCAAACAUGCAUAAGGGCAACUACCCAGU